rnacentral:rRNA from 1 species
CUGAACUUAAGCAUAUCAAUAAGCGGAGGAAAAGAAACCAACAGGAUGC